rnacentral:rRNA from 1 species
UACGUAGGGUGCAAGCGUUGUCCGGAAUUAUUGGGCGUAAAGAGCUCGUAGGCGGUUUGUCGCGUCUGCUGUGAAAUCUUAGGGCUUAACCCUGAGCUUGCAGUGGGUACGGGCAGACUAGAGUGCGGUAGGGGAGACUGGAAUUCCUGGUGUAGCGGUGAAAUGCGCAGAUAUCAGGAGGAACACCGGUGGCGAAGGCGGCAUACUGGACCACCACUGACGCUGAUGCGCGAAAGCCAGGGGAGCAAACGGG